rnacentral:rRNA from 1 species
GUCCAGACUCCUACGGGAGGCAGCAGUGGGGAAUAUUGCACAAUGGGGGAAACCCUGAUGCAGCGACGCCGCGUGAGUGAAGAAGUACUUCGUUAUGUAAAGCUCCAUCAGCAGGGAAGAAAAUGACGGUACCUGAGUAAGAAGCCCCGGCUAACUACGUGCCAGCAGCCGCGGUAAUACGUAGGGGGCAAGCGUUAUCCGGAUUUACUGGGUGUAAAAGGAGCGUAGACGGCAGUGCAAGUCUGGAGUGAAAGGCGAGGGCUCAACCCCCGGACUGCUCUGGAAACUGUACGGCUGGAGUGCAGGAGAGGUAAGUGGAAUUCCUAGUGUAGCGGUGAAAUGCGUAGAUAUAUGGAGGAACACCGGUGGCGAAAGCGGCUCUCUGGCCUGUAACUGACACUGAGGCUCGAAAGCGUGGGGAGCAAACAGGAUUAGAUACCCUAGUAUA